UGGGGAAUAUUGGACAAUGGGCGAAAGCCUGAUCCAGCCAUGCCGCGUGUGUGAAGAAGGUCUUCGGAUUGUAAAGCACUUUAAGUUGGGAGGAAGGGCAGUAAGCGAAUACCUUGCUGUUUUGACGCUACUGACAGAAUAAGCACCGGCUAACUCUGUGCCAGCAGCCGCGGUAAUACAGAGGGUGCAAGCGUUAAUCGGAAUUACUGGGCGUAAAGCGCGCGUAGGUGGUUCGUUAAGUUGAAUGUGAAAGCCCCGGGCUCAGCCUGGGAACUGCAUCCAAAACUGGCGAGCUAGAGUAGGGCAGAGGGUGGUGGAAUUUCCUGUGUAGCGGUGAAAUGCGUAGAUAUAGGAAGGGACACCAGUGGCGAAGGCGACCACCUGGGCUCAUACUGACACUGAGGUGCGAAAGCGUGGGGAGCAAACAGG
rnacentral:rRNA from 1 species